rnacentral:rRNA from 1 species
UUAUCAUUUAGAGGAAGGAGAAGUCGUAACAAGGUUUCCGUAGGUGAACCUGCGGAAGGAUCAUUGUCGAAACCUGCCCAGCCAGAGAGACCCGCGAAC